rnacentral:tRNA from 1 species
ACCUGGCUAGCUCAGUUGGUAGAGCAUGCAACUCCUGAUCUCAGGAUCAUGAGUUCAAGUCCCAUGUUGGGUG